rnacentral:rRNA from 1 species
GCGUGCGGUAGACCCGAAACCUUAGCGAUCUAUCCAUGACCAGGUUGAAAGGCGGGUAACACCGCUCGGAGGACCGAACUCACUAGGGUUGAAAACCUAGGGGAUGAGUUGUGGAUAGGAGUGAAAGGCUAAUCAAGCUGGGAGAUAGCUGGUUCUCCCCGAAAUAUAUUGAGGUAUAGCCUCGAGUGAAUUGCGCCGGAGGUAGAGCACUGGAUGGGCUAGGGGUCCUACCAGAUUACCAAACCCAACCAAACUCCGAAUGCCGGUGACAACUGCUCGGGAGUCAGGCAGCGGGAGAUAAGUUCCGUUGCCGAGAGGGAAAGAGCCCAGAUCGUCGGCUAAGGUCCCCAAGUCUGAGCUAAGUGUGAAAGGAUGUGGGAACGCUCUGACAACCAGGAGGUUGGCUUAGAAGCAGCCAUCCUUUAAAGAAAGCGUAAUAGCUCACUGGUCAAGCGAGCCCGCGCCGAAAAUAUAACGGGGCUCAAGCUCAGCACCGAAGCUGCGGGCUCUCGCAAGAGAGCGGUAGGGGAGCAUUCUCAAGGAGAUACAAGCCAGACGGUGACGACUGGUAGCGGCCUUGAGAAGAGCUUAUGCAGGCAUGAGUAGCGAUAAACCGAGUGAGAAACUUCGGUCGCCGUAAGCCCAAGGUUUCCUGGGGAAGGAUAAUCCUCCCAUGGGUCAGUCGGUCCCUAAGCCGAGGCCGAAAGGCGUAGGUGAUGGAUGGCAGGUUAAUAUUCCUGCACCACCAGGGAUGGCGUUGAAGUAAGCGGGGACGGAGAAGGGUAGGCCUAGCGCAGCGCAAGGUUGUCUGCGUUCAAGCCCGUAGGGUGGACCGUGAGGACUCGAUAGAGACAAACCACGGUCCGUAUAGCCCGAGAGGUGAUGAGGUCCGGAUCUGAUCCGGGACACUAGGUGAUCCCAAGCUUCCAAGAAAAGCCGCGUACAGAGCCACUCUGGUGACCGUACCGCAAACCGACUCAGGUGGGCGGGGUGAAUAUCCCAAGGCGCGUGAGAGAACCCUGGUUAAGGAACUAGGCAAACUAACACCGUAACUUCGGGAGAAGGUGUGCCGCUUUCUGUGCGGAGCUUCGCGCUCCAAGCGGCGAGCGGUUGCAGAGAAAUAGGGGUUGUGACUGUUUACUAAAAACACAGGACUCUGCAAAGUCGUAAGACGAUGUAUAGGGUCUGAUGCCUGCCCGGUGCUGGAAGGUUAAGGGGACGGGUCAGCGCAAGCGAAGCCCAAAACCGAAGCCCCAGUAAACGGCGGCCGUAACUAUAACGGUCCUAAGGUAGCGAAAUUCCUUGUCGGGUAAGUUCCGACCUGCACGAAUGGCAUAACAACAUCCCCGCUGUCUCAACCAGGGACUCAGCGAAAUUGUAUUGGGGGUGAAGAUACCCUCUACCCGCGGCAAGACGGAAAGACCCCAUGAACCUUCACUGCAGCUUGGCAGUGAACUUCGGACUGUUCUGCGUAGGAUAGGUGGGAGGCUUUGAAGCCGGGCUUCUGGGUUCGGCUGAGCCAACGUUGAAAUACCACCCUGGACAAUCUGGGGUUCUAACCUGGUCCCGUGAUCCGGGACGGGGACACUGCCUGGUGGGCAGUUUGACUGGGGCGGUCGCCUCCAAAAACGUAACGGAGGCGUGCGAAGGUUCCCUCAGGCUGAUUGGAAACCAGCCGUAGAGUGCAAAUGCAUAAGGGAGCUUAACUGUAAGACCGACAGGUCGAGCAGGUGCGAAAGCAGGCGUUAGUGAUCCGGUGGUUCCAUAUGGAAGGGCCAUCGCUCAUCGGAUAAAAGGUACUCUGGGGAUAACAGGCUGAUCGCGCCUGAGAGUUCACAUCGGCGGCGCGGUUUGGCACCUCGAUGUCGGCCCAUCGCAUCCUGGGGCUGGAGCAGGUCCCAAGGGUUCGGCUGUUCGCCGAUUAAAGCGGUACGCGAGCUGGGUUUAGAACGUCGUGAGACAGUUCGGUCCCUAUCUGCCGUGGGCGUAGGAUACUUGAGAGGAGCUGCCCAUAGUACGAGAGGACCUGGGUGGACGUACCCCUGGUGAUCCGGUUGUCACGCCAGUGGCAUAGCCGGGUAGCCACGUACGGAACGGAUAACCGCUGAAAGCAUCUAAGCGGGAAGCCGGCCUCAAGACUAGGUAUCCCGGGCGCAAGCCCCUAAAGACCCCUCGUAGACUACGAGGUUGAUAGGCCGGGUGUGGAAGUGGAGUAAUCCACGGAGCUAACCGGUACUAAUCGGUCGUGAGGCUUGACCAU